AAAUUGAAGAGUUUGAUCAUGGCUCAGAUUGAACGCUGGCGGCAGGCCUAACACAUGCAAGUCGAACGGUAACAGGAAGAAGCUUGCUUCUUUGCUGACGAGUGGCGGACGGGUGAGUAAUGUCUGGGAAACUGCCUGAUGGAGGGGGAUAACUGCUGGAAACGGUAGCUAAUACCGCAUAACGUCGCAAGACCAAAGAGGGGGAGCUUCGGGCCUCUUGCCAUCGGAUGU
rnacentral:rRNA from 1 species